AUUGAACGCUGGCGGCAUGCCUUACACAUGCAAGUCGAACGGCAGCACGGGGCAACCUGGUGGCGAGUGGCGAACGGGUGAGUAAUGCAUCGGAACGUACCUUUCAGUGGGGGAUAACGUAGCGAAAGUUACGCUAAUACCGCAUAUUCUGUGAGCAGGAAAGCAGGGGAUCGCAAGACCUUGCGCUGACUGAGCGGCCGAUGUCAGAUUAGCUAGUUGGUGAGGUAAAGGCUCACCAAGGCGACGAUCUGUAGCGGGUCUGAGAGGAUGAUCCGCCACACUGGAACUGAGACACGGUCCAGACUCCUACGGGAGGCAGCAGUGGGGAAUUUUGGACAAUGGGGGCAACCCUGAUCUAGCCAUGCCGCGUGAGUGAAGAAGGCCUUCGGGUUGUAAAGCUCCUUCGGCCGGGAAGAAAUCGCACGGGCUAAUACCCUGUGUGGAUGACGGUACCGGAAUAAGAAGCACCGGCUAACUACGUGCCAGCCGCCGCCGUAAUAC
rnacentral:rRNA from 1 species